UCGGUCUAUCUUCCAACGCGUGGAUUCACUCGAGUCUUCUCCUAUCUUCUUUCUCUUUCUUUCUCCUUCACAGAUUAUUUCAGGAAAAAAGAUCCCAGCGAUCUCUCUCCCCACCGACUUGCCCCAUGGAUGAGCUCCUCCCCGCCCUAGAGACCUCCCCUUGCUCCGGUCCUUUCGGCCGUCGAUGAAUUCGAGGCUGCCUUCGAGCGGUUCGACGAGGACUCAGACGAGGAGCUCGAGCGCGCGGCGCAUGCGGGCAGGCGGCCCCAAGGCGCCACCGAAAUCGGCACAAUACAGGGAUGUGCGACCCCGACCGUGCGGCAAGUGGGCGGCCGAGAUCCGUGGUACCCUGUCAAGGGAGUUCGGGUCUGGCUCAACACAUUCCCCUCCGCUGAGGCCGGCGCACAUCAUGAUCACCACUUCCCCUCCAUUUGACCUUCAGUGUAUUGGCGUGGCGGCGUGGCGGCGUCCGACAGGCUGGGUCGGCGGCGAGAUAAUCUGUGGCGGGAGCGCGGCGACACGCCUAAUUCGACUCGACUGCUGCAUCUUGCAUCGUCGCGCUGCGCCUUCUCCAUUUUCAGGUGUGUCUUCAUCAGGUAAGUGUUGUCUGCUAGGUUGUCCAUUUCAUCAGUAUUUUUCUUUUUUUGGUUCUAAUGUUGUUUGUCGUGCUGAUUCGUUCAUGUUGUUUUGUCUCCUAUGUCUUCUGUCACCAUGGAUCAGCAGCGGUGUCGCCACAAGAUUUGUGAGGGGAAUCUGCCUGUUCUAGCCUCUGGAAGUUUGUUGUCUGCAUUCUAACUCCUGUGUUCAUUUCAAUGUUUUAUUUUUGGUAUUUUACAAAUCACUCAGCUGAUGUAUAACCAGUUAACCACUCAGGUGAAGCACCCAGUCAUAUAACCAAAAAAAGUCACGCGUCAUAUCAGAGCCGAGGAGUUGGACUACCGCGACGACACCUUUAUAUUUUAUUGUGUGGCCUCCGGCAAUAUCCCAAAGAUGGAGGCAGCGAUGUGCCGGCUCAGGAAGUCCGGUCUUCUCAUCUCUGUCGACCAAGUUGCAGCCAAGCUGUCCUAAAGCAAGGAAUGCUGCUAAGCUGAUUGCUUCUUUAAUUUCUCAUCAUAUGUGGUUUUGGCUUGCAGAAUAAGUGACCCCUGGUGUUAUUAUACUCAUCACCCCUCCACCGAUCCAUGAACCUGUGAGAAUCAUGUCCCAAAUAACCACCCUUACCUUGCAGAUAUCUGCUUUACUUAGUUUUACUAUUCAUGAGAUAUAUAUAAAAAAACAGUCCCUUUCUUCAAAUGAGCAUGAAUAGCUGAAGCAAUAUGUCUCCUGAAGGUGGUUCUGAAAGUGCAGAAGUCAAUGCUCAUCAUCGUCUUUUUCAAUUUAUGCUAACACCAGUUAAUCUCAUCAUAUUCCUAUUGCAAUUAUCAGCGUACUUUUUAUUGGAUGUUGUCUGGAAUCAUUUCAUAUUGAUUAUGUCACAUGUCCCUUAGUGAUUGUGCUUUUGAUUCUGUGAUUAGGGGAGAGAGGAGGACAAAAGAAUGACAACCUUUGAGGAGGAGGUGAUGUGUACGAUGUGCAGCAGAAAAACGAAGAUUCAUGUCAGAGUCAGAGCCUGAGAGGUGCCUCCUGAGUUUAUCAUUCUCUCUAUCUUAUGUUGCUCCUCCCCGGCUCCUCAAGCUAUCAAUGCUGUAUCGUGAUAUCCCUGCUCUAUUCUUCGGGGGGAUUCAAUCGCAUGACCAUCUGGAUCGCAUUUGAUCCGUAAAAUCUCAUGAAAGAAGAAUAGACUGCCUUUUUGACGACAUGGUGAGCCCCAGUGCUCCCUCCUCCGCCAUGACUCUACUCUUGCCUCUCUGCCAAAGAGCUGUGGAAUUUCUUCGUCGUCCUUGACGGCACAACUCUCCUCCUCAACAUCAUGGUAUUGGCUCUUCUCUGCCAUGGUACUCCGUUGGUACUGAACAACACGAGACAGUGGCUCCAAAAUAAUCGCUUGCGCCCGCGCUCAAGUCCCACUCCGCUUGAAAAGGCGUUUGCAUGUAACUACCAAGUAUUGCUCUGCUUUGGUAUUUGAUUGAUCAGUGUCCCUGGAUUUGCCGUUUAUGGUGGAUGUGAAAGGGCAAUUUACUCGAUGACUUGAUGGAGCCAAGUCACUGGAUCUAUACUCUAACUGCGGCAAUAAUUCUAAAUAUCAAUAGUGGCAAUGCUUCUUUUCUUUUCCCCUUAAUUCAUGUAUAUAUAAAGUCAAUGGUUCAAUCUUUUGGGGUUUCUAUCUUCUUGCACCUAAUAGAGUCACCUGUCAAAAGAGAAGAGAAUACGGCUGUACAUUUAUAUUGCACUUUCGUUGUUGAUAUUGUGAUACACUGAACUGUGCGAACUUUGAGUUUUCAGAUAUCAGAGGAGAGGUUGAUUUUCCUGUGGCAA